AUUGAACGCUGGCGGCAGGCCUAACACAUGCAAGUCGAGCGGGGUUUUCGGACCUAGCGGCGGACGGGUGAGUAAUGCGUAGGAGGCUGCCCGAUAGAGGGGGAUACCAGUUGGAAACGACUGUUAAUACCGCAUAAUGUCUACGGACCAAAGUGUGGGACCUUCGGGCCACAUGCUAUCGGAUGCGCCUACGUGGGAUUAGCUAGUUGGUGAGGUAAUGGCUCACCAAGGCGACGAUCUCUAGCUGGUUUGAGAGGAUGAUCAGCCACACUGGAACUGAGACACGGUCCAGACUCCUACGGGAGGCAGCAGUGGGGAAUAUUGGACAAUGGGCGCAAGCCUGGUCCAGCCAUGCCGCGUGUGCGAAGAAGGCCUUCGGGUUGUAAAGCACUUUCAGCGAGGAGGAAGGGUGGUGUGUUAAUAGCACAUCAUUUUGACGUUACUCGCAGAAGAAGCACCGGCUAACUCUGUGCCAGCCGCCGCCGUAA
rnacentral:rRNA from 1 species